rnacentral:piRNA from 1 species
CCAGAUGACAUGUCACCAGAGGUGGGAAC